GUUGUGUCUUAGAGGUAGAGCGUUCACCUAGCAUGUGCGAGGUCCUGAGUUCGAUCCUCAGCACCACA
rnacentral:tRNA from 1 species